AUGACGCCGUCGCAGCCGCGGAACAAGACCUCGUCGGCGCACCGGUCGGCGUUCCUCCGCGGCGAGCACCGCUUCGACAUCGUCGGCUACCGCGCGCGCAAGGACCUCGGCGUCCGCAACAACGUCCGGUCCGCCGACUUCCAGGCCGGCGGCUGCACCUGGGCCCUCAUCUGCUGCUUCGACGACCCCUAUCCCUACGCGCGGCGUCGCGGCUCCGGGGACCAGAUCCAGCUCGUCUGCAUCACCCUCCAGCUCGUCUCCAACGACGGCCACGACGUGGUCGCCAGGGCCAGCCUCAGGAUCGACGACCCUGCGCCGUCGGGGAAGAAGAAGGGCGGUCCUCGUCGGUGGCCGCCUGCCGUGUGGCGGAGCGACGAGGCUAAAACCUUCCUCGCCGCCGCUCAUGGUCGUGGGUACGACGACGACCCCGAUGAGUGCACCGGCAAGAGCUACUGGGAGCUGCCCGUCCCCCACGGGUUCCGGGAGUCGCUCUACGUCAGGGACGACCGGCUCACCAUCCACUGCACCGUCGACGUCCUCCGAGAGGAGGAGGCCGGCGAGGCCGCGACCAAGGACUGCUCCGUCUCCGUCGUGCCGCCGCCCAGCAUCCUCCGUGAUCUCCGCAAGCUCCUCGACGAGUCGCGGUCGAAGGCAGACAAGGCGGACACGCGCUUUGCGACGGACGUGACGUUCGUGGUGGAGCAGACUGAGAUCCGGGCGCACCGGCUCGUGCUCGCCAUGCGGUCGCCGGUGUUUGCUGCCGAGCUGCUCGGGGAGAUGAAGGAGGGCGCCGCGCGCUCCCGCGUCAAGGUCGACGACAUGACCGCCUCCACAUUCAGGGCCAUGCUGCACUUCAUCUACACCGACGAGCUCAAGCAAAAAAACAACAAGCAUGUGGAUGUGGCCAUGGCAGGUGAUUUACUCGUGGCCGCGGAUCGCUACGACUUGGAGAGGCUGAGGCUCAUGUGCGAGAAGAUACUUGCAGACAACAUGGACGCCAGAUCUGUGAUGACGACACUGAUGCUGGUGCACGGCCGAGAUAGCUGCCGGCGGCUAGAGGCCGCGUGCGUUGAGUACAUGACGUCCGACCCCAACGUCUACGCCGCCGUGGUGGCAACGGAUGAGUACAAGGAGCUCAAGGAAACGUGUGGCGUCUUUGUGUCCGACGUCUUAGAGAAAAUAUGGACGCGGGCAGCGGUUCCCUGCAUGCACACCUCCCCUUCAUCAUUAUCAUCAUCAUCGUCAACUCCAUCAUCGUCAUCAUCAUUGUCGUCUUCGCCGCCAUCAUCUUCGUCACCUUCAUCCUCGUCGUCGUCAUCUUCCUCCUCAUCAAUGGCCAGCAGUGUCUGUACUCAGCAGCCACAAAAGAGCGCGUCCAUGUUCAACUCAUCGGAGACGUUCAAAGGCACACACGAGUUCAGAAUCCCUAACUUCAGUGCCAUGCAGCGGAGGUUCGGCAUUGACGAAUGCAUCCGAUCUGGCACUUUCCAGAUCGGCGGCCAUGGCUGGAUUAUCGUCUUUCCUCCUGGAGCUGAUGACGUGUGGGUGGCGUCUACCUUGAAGAUGUGUGACCCGAGCGGCCAAUUGCCACCGGUCUUCUGUUGGAUUGAUGCCUUCUACACCAUUAAUAAGUUCGUGGGAAUGCACAAGUUCAUUGACCUGGCGUCUACCAAGUCAUGCUACCUCGGACACGAUGGCUCCCGAACCAUACACUGUGACGUCUCGGUCACCAAGGAGUACCCCGGCACCAAUAACGGCACCGCCGCCGCUGCUGAAGCUAUGACCACGGUGAUCUCCGUGCCGUCGUCCAACAUCACCUCGCACCUGGAGAAGCUACUGGUGAGCGAGCAGGGCUCUGAUGUCACAUUCCUGGUCGGAGACACCAAGCUCCGUGCACAUAGGCUUGUGGUCGCCGCGCGUGCGCCGGUCCUUCACAAAGCCAUGGCGGCGAUGGCGGAGCCCGACACCAUGAGCCAUUGCGUUAGGAUGGAUGACAUAGAGGCCUACGUUUUUAGGUGCGUGCUCGACUUCAUCUACACCGACGAGCUGCCCGAGCACUUGGGAAACACCACGACGAUGGCCCGGGACAUGCUGGCUGCGGCGGACCGGUUCGGUCUGGAGAGGAUGAAGGCCAUGUGUGAGAACAUAUUGUGCGAGAACGUCACGGCGGAGAAUGUGGUGGGCACACUGAAGCUGGCGGACCGCCACCAUUGCCAGGGGCUCAAGGACUUCUGCAUGGAGCACAUCUCACAGGCGCAUGUGCUCGGGAAAGUGGUGGAGACUAAGGGGUUCAAGGAUCUAAAAAGCACGUGUCCGUCGCUUCUAGAGGAGAUCAUCAUCAAAAUCUCCAAGUUGUCAACGUUGGAUGGUUAG
rnacentral:rRNA from 1 species